UGAGGAAUAUUGGUCAAUGGGCGGAAGCCUGAACCAGCCAAAUCGCGUGAAGGAAGACGGUAUUAUGUAUUGUAAACUUCUUUAGCAGUGGAGUAAUAACGGCCAUGUAUGGUCGGAUGCAAGUACACUGAGAAUAAGGAUCGGCUAACUCCGUGCCAGCAGCCGCGGUAAUACGGAGGAUCCGAGCGUUAUCCGGAUUUAUUGGGUUUAAAGGGUGCGUAGGCGGCCCUUCAAGUCAGCGGUUAAACGUCCGGGCUCAACCUGGGCUUGCCGUUGAAACUGAAGGGCUUGAUUCUGCUGGAGGCCGGCGGAAUUCGUGGUGUAGCGGUGAAAUGCAUAGAUAUCACGAAGAACGCCGAUUGCGUAGGCAGCCGGCCAUAGCGGCAAUGACGCUGAAGCACGAAAGUGCGGGGAUCGAACAGG
rnacentral:rRNA from 1 species